rnacentral:rRNA from 1 species
GAUGAACGUUGGCGGCGUGCUUAACACAUGCAAGUCGAACGGAAAGGCUCCUGCUUGCCGGGGUACUCGAGUGGCGAACGGGUGAGUAACACGUGGGUGAUCUGCCCUGCACUUCGGGAUAAGCCUGGGAAACUGGGUCUAAUACCGGAUAGGACCACAUUUUGGAUGGUGUGGUGGAAAGUUUUUCGGUGUGGGAUGAGCUCGCGGCCUAUCAGCUUGUUGGUGGGGUAAUGGCCUACCAAGGCGUCGACGGGUAGCCGGCCUGAGAGGGUGUACGGCCACAUUGGGACUGAGAUACGGCCCAGACUCCUACGGGAGGCAGCAGUGGGGAAUAUUGCACAAUGGGCGCAAGCCUGAUGCAGCGACGCCGCGUGGGGGAUGACGGCCUUCGGGUUGUAAACUCCUUUCGCUAGGGACGAAGCGUUUUUGUGACGGUACCUGGAGAAGAAGCACCGGCUAACUACGUG